AUGGAACACUCCCUGCGCCUUAGGCGUGGCUUCCGGGUUCACCGGCAGGAUGCACUCCACGAGCACCACCUUGCCGUGCGCCGGCAAGGCGUCGUAGCAGUUCUUGAGCAGCUUAGCGCAGUGCUCGUCGCUCCAGUCGUGGAGGAUCCACUUCAUGAGGAUGGCGUCACCCGAGGGCACCUUCUGGAACAUGUCGCCGCCGACGUGGGUGACACCGGGGAACGGCGGCGCCUCGGAGAUGACGUGGGGAAGGUCGAAGUUGAUGCCCUUGAUGGCGGGGGUGUUGAGGCCCUCGAAGCCCUUGUAGAGUUCGAGGAGCUUCUUGGUGAUGAUGAUGGAAUGGUUCUUCAUCCCUUCGUUGAAGACGCGGUUGAAGCGCAGGUCCGUGCCGUGGUACUCGAACGCCGACAUCCCGUAUGCCUUGUUGAAUGGGAUGCCACCGUCGAGGACCGCAUCCUUGAGAUAGUACCUGAAAAAUGGUACGGUAUGAUUCACCCACACAUUGGAACAUAUAUGUGCUCUGCUUGCCACAUCUUUUGCAACAGGGAGAUGCUACUACUCUCUGAACAAAGAGUACUGAGCAAAUGGGCAAAGUAA
rnacentral:rRNA from 1 species